rnacentral:ncRNA from 1 species
GCCGAUUUGGAGGUAGCAAUCUGUGCAUAAGUUGAUAUACCACUCUUCAUUUCGCAUAAGGUAUUGACGAUUGUGUUUUAAUUUUUUCUUCUAGAUCGUUGUUGGUACAAUUAUUAUUAACAUAUUUACUCGCUUCGACUCUUUUAUUAAGUGAGUCUUUCGAUGAGCAAAUAAAUUCCGAGAUUACCUUGAAAUUGCGAUUAAUAAACGUUUGAGUUCCAUGGAAUCCUCUAGCAGGGAGAUAUGGUUUAGAACGCGAAGAGCACCGCAGUUGCGGCGGUGUUCGGAUCUUCCCCUCGGACCUUGACAAUUCCGGGAGAGGGCCACGUCGAGGCGUCGCGCCGGUUCGUACCCAUAUCCGCAGCAGGUCUCCAAGGUGAAGAGCCUCUAGU